GAAAGACCAAAUGUGCGCCAUGUCACGGACAACUUCAUAGACAAUAAUGAUGACGAACAAUCAUCAUCAUAUCAAAGCGGGUCAAGCGACGAUGAAUAACAAUGUCUUCUUCACAUAUACACAUUAGUCAUUUUUCUAUACAAUUAGUUUGUGAUACUCACAUUUAUCUAACGUUUGUUGGUUUUUAUGUCUGCAGGAACUAUAUCAUUUUC
rnacentral:lncRNA from 1 species